AUGUUAGGGGCUUGCUCCGCUCUCGCCACGGGUUGGCCCGGUAUUGCAGUACCUCCGGGAUCGGCCCACUCCCCUUAACGGGGAAAAACAAGAAAUCAAAUAAUAAGAAAAAGUAGUCAGCGCCAGGGCAUUCUGUCUGUCUCAGGAAUUUUUACAGAAAUAAUAGGCUCUUGAACAAGCUCAAGACCAUUUGCGCAAUUACGUCCAAGGAGAGCUGCUGCGCUGCUCGUGAAAUACAAUAGAGACAUAUCAGUAUUGCAGUAAGUUGCAUAAAAUCGAAUCAUAAUUUUAGUGUUAACGUAUCGCAAUAUCCAGCCUCUACAGGACGGGAAAUGGCUGUAUUGUACCGUAAAUGACGUACGUUACGUUACGUCUAUCAAACGUCCGAUUGUUACGUCACAAACGCAACGUCUGUUUCUAUGACGCUGACUUACCAGUAGCAACACGUUUCGGAGCUGACUUCUAGCACAUUGAUGCAAUUGCAGGCAGUAAAAAUGAGCUAACUGGACGUUAGUAACGUACAGCUAUAAACGCUCAGCGUCUGUCUGUUACGUCAGAACUGUGACGCUGGUCUCCUAGACGCUGGCGUCUUUAAAGAAACACAGAAUGCGAUCUCUCUGGCAGUAAAAAUGAGCUAACUGGACGUUAGUAACGUACAGCUAUAAACGCUCAGCGUCUGUCUGUUACGUCAGAACUAGGACGCUGGUCUCCUAGACGCUGGCGUCUUUAAAGAAACACAGAAUGCGAUCUCUCUGGCAGUAAAAAUGAGCUAACUGGACGUUAGUAACGUACAGCUAUAAACGCUCAGCGUCUGUCUGUUACGUCAGAACUAGGACGCUGGUCUCCUAGACGCUGGCGUCUUUAAAGAAACACAGAAUGCGAUCUCUCUGGCAGUAAAAAUGAGCUAACUGGACGUUAGUAACGUACAGCUAUAAACGCUCAGCGUCUGUCUGUUACGUCAGAACUAGGACGCUGGUCUCCUAGACGCUGGCGUCUUUAAAGAAACACAGAAUGCGAUCUCUCUGGCAGUAAAAAUGAGCUAACUGGACGUUAGUAACGUACAGCUAUAAACGCUCAGCGUCUGUCUGUUACGUCAGAACUAGGACGCUGGUCUCCUAGACGCUGGCGUCUUUAAAGAAACACAGAAUGCGAUCUCUCUGGCAGUAAAAAUGAGCUAACUGGACGUUAGUAACGUACAGCUAUAAACGCUCAGCGUCUGUCUGUUACGUCAGAACUAGGACGCUGGUCUCCUAGACGCUGGCGUCUUUAAAGAAACACAGAAUGCGAUCUCUCUGGCAGUAAAAAUGAGCUAACUGGACGUUAGUAACGUACAGCUAUAAACGCUCAGCGUCUGUCUGUUACGUCAGAACUAGGACGCUGGUCUCCUAGACGCUGGCGUCUUUAAAGAAACACAGAAUGCGAUCUCUCUGGCAGUAAAAAUGAGCUAACUGGACGUUAGUAACGUACAGCUAUAAACGCUCAGCGUCUGUCUGUUACGUCAGAACUAGGACGCUGGUCUCCUAGACGCUGGCGUCUUUAAAGAAACACAGAAUGCGAUCUCUCUGGCAGUAAAAAUGAGCUAACUGGACGUUAGUAACGUACAGCUAUAAACGCUCAGCGUCUGUCUGUUACGUCAGAACUAGGACGCUGGUCUCCUAGACGCUGGCGUCUUUAAAGAAACACAGAAUGCGAUCUCUCUGGCAGUAAAAAUGAGCUAACUGGACGUUAGUAACGUACAGCUAUAAACGCUCAGCGUCUGUCUGUUACGUCAGAACUAGGACGCUGGUCUCCUAGACGCUGGCGUCUUUAAAGAAACACAGAAUGCGAUCUCUCUGGCAGUAAAAAUGAGCUAACUGGACGUUAGUAACGUACAGCUAUAUAAACGCUCAGCG
rnacentral:lncRNA from 1 species